UAUAUAUAUAUAUAUAGAGUGCGGCUAGGAUGCUUAUGAAAGCACGAAGGGUUCUGUGUUUUCACUUUGUUUUCGAUGUUCAGACUUUCGAAUCGACGAUCGGCUUCGUUAAACUUGAUCUAGAGUAUUUGAAGUAUCUAGAAAAUAAAUUUUGCUGUUUUUCGAUAUCAUUUGCCUAGUGAUCGAAGUGACUCAAAAUCAACGGCUAAAAAUAAAAAUCUUACAAAAUAUGAUGAUAUGACAUUAAAAUUUUAGAUCAAAGUUAUUGAUCUUGUUUUAUAUGGUAUAAAGAAUUUUCUAUCAAAAUUUCAUGUGAUUUAGAUAUUUCUACACCGUUAAACUUGCAACCGGUUUACCACGGCCAUUAAAAUUACUGAUUUUGAGCCCCUUCGAUCACUAGGCAAAUGAUAUCGAAAAAUUACAAAAAUUUUUUUCUAGGUACUUCAAAUAUUUUAGAUCAACUCUAACGGAGCCGAUCGUCGAUUCGAAAGUCCGAACAUCGAAAACAACUUGAAAGCACGGAGGGCUCCGUGCUUCCGUAAGUAUACCAGCCCUCUCUCUCUCUCUCUCUCUCUCUCUCUCUCUAUAUAUAUAUAUAUAUAAAGUACUAAAGAGAAAAAAAAAUUAAAAAAAAUAUAGAGAAAGAUCUAAGCUUAAAAUUUCGUUUCAUUCGGAUAUAAAUAAAAAUUAUUUAGUAAAAAAAAUAAGUAUAAGUUGAAGUAUAAGCAGAAAUUAAAAUAAAUUUUUGUUUGGUUAAAAAUUGGAUCGGUAUAAGAUAGCAUGUUUGAAUGGUUAAAUGAAAAUAGUAAAAAUAAAAAUAACUAUAAUUUUAAAUUAAUAAGAUUUUAUCUAACUAAUUAAUAUCAAAUUAUUAAUUAAAAAUAUUUUAAUAAAUUAAAAUUUUUUACCUAUGAUUAUUGUAUAAGAUAAUAAAAAAAAUUAACAAAUUAAUUAUUUAAUUAAUUAUAAGAUAGUAAAUUAAUUUUUAAAUUAAUUAGUACAUUAUUUAACUAGUUAGAUGAUUUGUUAAGAAAUUAAUUUAAUUAGUUGA
rnacentral:lncRNA from 1 species